GCAAGUCCCAGAAUGCCCAUGCCCUGGCAAAUCUGGGGCCCAGUUAGCCUCAUCCCUGCUGUGUUUGCAGGUAUGUAAGGAAGAUCCAAUCUGGGGGCAGAUGACAGAUUUGGGAGAGCCAUUUCCCACAUGAUCCAUUUGAAGGGCACGUAGGAUCAUGUCAUAAUCUGAUGAAAACCUUCCCAUGGCUCCUGAUAACUUUUGAGCACCUGUGUCAGUGGCCAGGAGGCGGCAGAGGCACCAGAGCUGGAAACCCUGCCCUUGACCAGCCUCAGCCUCCACUGGGCAAAGCGGGUGUCGUCUCUCCUCCUGUCCCAGGGAAACCAAGGGGAGAAGGCAAGACCACUUUGGGGACUGGGCCUCAGAUGCCAUCUAUCACAAGAUACACCGUCAAUUUAUAACAACCUUUGAGGGGGAAAGAAAACAAAAGGGAAGAUGAAAUUAAAUGUCUAGAUCAAUUGAAGGAGGCAUCUUGUUUAGGAAAGUGUAAACUGUGUGUGCCAGAAUUAA